GUAUAACCUGCUCAAUGAAAAUUAAAUAGCCGCAAAAUUUAUGUGCUAAGGUAGCAUAAUCAUUUGUUUUUUAAUUAAAAACUAGAAUGAAAGGUUUAACAUUUAAAUUUUUUUAUUUAAAUUAUAAUAUAAAAUUAUAUUAAAUAUAAAAAUAUAUUUAUAAAACAAAAAGACGACAAGACCCUAUUGAACUUUACUUAUGUUUAACUGGGGCAGUUUUAUAAAUAAAAUUUUAUUUUUUACUAAAAAAUGAUCCAAUAAAAUUGUAUUAAUAAACAAGUUACCAUAGGGAUAACAGCGUUAUAAAUAUUUAAAGUUCUUAUUUAAAUAUUUGAUUGCGACCUCGAUGUUGAAUUAUAUUUUCUUAUAUUAGUGCAACAACAUAUAAAGUAAGU
rnacentral:rRNA from 1 species